rnacentral:rRNA from 1 species
AGUGAACGCUGGCGGUAGGCCUAACACAUGCAAGUCGAACGGCAGCACAGUAAGAGCUUGCUCUUACGGGUGGCGAGUGGCGGACGGGUGAGGAAUACAUCGGAAUCUACUUUUUCGUGGGGGAUAACGUAGGGAAACUUACGCUAAUACCGCAUACGACCUACGGGUGAAAGCAUGGGAUCUUCGGACCUUGCGCGAGUGAAUGAGCCGAUGUCGGAUUAGCUAGUUGGCGGGGUAAAGGCCCACCAAGGCGACGAUCCGUAGCUGGUCUGAGAGGAUGAUCAGCCACACUGGAACUGAGACACGGUCCAGACUCCUACGGGAGGCAGCAGUGGGGAAUAUUGGACAAUGGGCGCAAGCCUGAUCCAGCCAUACCGCGUGGGUGAAGAAGGCCUUCGGGUUGUAAAGCCCUUUUGUUGGGAAAGAAAAGCAGCAGGUUAAUACCCCGCUGUUCUGACGGUACCCAAAGAAUAAGCACCGGCUAACUUCGUG